rnacentral:snoRNA from 1 species
NNNGCUGGCUUGUGAACUCUCAAGUGUAGGUAGUGUGCUACACGAGGGGCAAGUUUUUCGCUAACACCACGAGGGUCUCUGGCCCAAUGAGUGGAGUUGGAUAGUAAUUCUUGCUACAAUA